AUUGAACGCUGGCGGCAGGCCUAACACAUGCAAGUCGAGCGGUAGCACAGAGAGCUUGCUCUCGGGUGACGAGCGGCGGACGGGUGAGUAAUGUCUGGGAAACUGCCUGAUGGAGGGGGAUAACUACUGGAAACGGUAGCUAAUACCGCAUAAUGUCGCAAGACCAAAGAGGGGGACCUCGGGCCGUCUUGCCAUCAGAUGUGCCCACGAUGGGAGUUAG
rnacentral:rRNA from 1 species